rnacentral:rRNA from 1 species
AUUGAACGCUGGCGGCAGGCCUAACACAUGCAAGUCGAGCGAGCGGCGGACGGGUGAGUAAUGUAUGGGGAUCUGCGUGAUGGAUGGGGAUAACUACUGGAAACUGUAACUAAUAACGCAUCCCAUCAGAUGAACCCAUAUGGGAUUAGCUUGUAGGUAAGGUAACGGCUUACCUAGGCGACGAUCCCUAGCUGGUCUGAGAGGAGGAACAGCAACACUGGAACUGAGACACGGCCCAGACUCCUACGGGAGGCAGCAGUGGGGAAUAUUCGGCAAUGGGCGAAAGUCUGACCGAGCCACGCCGCGUGAGUGAAGAAGGUUUUCGGAUUGUAAAGCUCUGUUGUUAGAGAAGCGGUAUCUAACGAGAAAGCAACGGCUAACUACGUGCCAGCCGCCGCGGUAAUUC